CCUACGGGAGGCAGCAGUGAGGAAUAUUGGUCAAUGGGCGAGAGCCUGAACCAGCCAAGUCGCGUGAGGGAGUACUGCCCUAUGGGUUGUAAACCUCUUUUGUCGGGGAGCAAAAGCCGGACGUGUCCGGCUGUGAGAGUACCCGAAGAAAAAGCAUCGGCUAACUCCGUGCCAGCAGCCGCGGUAAUACGGAGGAUGCGAGCGUUAUCCGGAUUUAUUGGGUUUAAAGGGUGCGCAGGCGGGUUUUUAAGUCAGCGGUAAAAUCGUGGGGCUCAACCCCAUCCAGCCGUUGAAACUGGGGAUCUAGAGUGUGCGAGAGGUAUGCGGAAUGCGUGGUGUAGCGGUGAAAUGCAUAGAUAUCACGCAGAACCCCGAUUGCGAAGGCAGCAUACCGGUGCACAACUGACGCUCAGGCACGAAAGCGUGGGUAUCGAACAGGAUUAGAUACCCUGGUAGUC
rnacentral:rRNA from 1 species